rnacentral:rRNA from 1 species
AGAGUUUGAUCCUGGCUCAGGAUGAACGCUGGCGGCGUGCCUAAUACAUGCAAGUCGAACGAGUUCUCGUUGAUGAUCGGUGCUUGCACCGAGAUUCAACAUGGAACGAGUGGCGGACGGGUGAGUAACACGUGGGUAACCUGCCCUUAAGUGGGGGAUAACAUUUGGAAACAGAUGCUAAUACCGCAUAGAUCCAAGAACCGCAUGGUUCUUGGCUGAAAGAUGGCGUAAGCUAUCGCUUUUGGAUGGACCCGCGGCGUAUUAGCUAGUUGGUGAGGUAAUGGCUCACCAAGGCGAUGAUACGUAGCCGAACUGAGAGGUUGAUCGGCCACAUUGGGACUGAGACACGGCCCAAACUCCUACGGGAGGCAGCAGUAGGGAAUCUUCCACAAUGGACGCAAGUCUGAUGGAGCAACGCCGCGUGAGUGAAGAAGGCUUUCGGGUCGUAAAACUCUGUUGUUGGAGAAGAAUGGUCGGCAGAGUAACUGUUGUCGGCGUGACGGUAUCCAACCAGAAAGCCACGGCUAACUACGUGCCAGCAGCCGCCGGUAAUACGUAAGGUGGCAAGCGUUAUCCGGAUUUAUUGGGCGUAAAGCGAGCGCAGGCGGUUUUUUAAGUCUGAUGUGAAAGCCCUCGGCUUAACCGAGGAAGCGCAUCGGAAACUGGGAAACUUGAGUGCAGAAGGGGACAGUGGAACUCCAUGUGUAGCGGUGAAAUGCGUAGAUAUAUGGAAGAACACCAGUGGCGAAGGCGGCUGUCUGGUCUGUAACUGACGCUGAGGCUCGAAAGCAUGGGUAGCGAACAGGAUUAGAUACCCUGGUAGUCCAUGCCGUAAACGAUGAAUGCUAGGUGUUGGAGGGUUUCCGCUCUUCAGUGCCGCAGCUAACGCAUUAAGCAUUCCGCCUGGGGAGUACGACCGCAAGGUUGAAACUCAAAGGAAUUGACGGGGGCCCGCACAAGCGGUGGAGCAUGUGGUUUAAUUCGAAGCAACGCGAAGAACCUUACCAGGUCUUGACAUCUUUUGAUCACCUGAGAGAUCAGGUUUCCCCUUCGGGGGCAAAAUGACAGGUGGUGCAUGGUUGUCGUCAGCUCGUGUCGUGAGAUGUUGGGUUAAGUCCCGCAACGAGCGCAACCCUUAUGACUAGUUGCCAGCAUUUAGUUGGGCACUCUAGUAAGACCUGCCGGUGACAAACCGGAGGAAGGUGGGGAUGACGUCAAAUCAUCAUGCCCCUUAUGACCUGGGCUACACACGUGCUACAAUGGAUGGUACAACGAGUUGCGAGACCGCGAGGUCAAGCUAAUCUCUUAAAGCCAUUCUCAGUUCGGACUGUAGGCUGCAACUCGCCUACACGAAGUCGGAAUCGCUAGUAAUCGCGGAUCAGCACGCCGCGGUGAAUACGUUCCCGGGCCUUGUACACACCGCCCGUCACACCAUGAGAGUUUGUAACACCCGAAGCCGGUGGCGUAACCCUUUUAGGGAGCGAGCCGUCUAAGGUGGGACAAAUGAUUAGGGUGAAGUCGUAACAAGGUAGCCGUAGGAGAACCUGCGGCUGGAUCACCUCCUU